GCAUAUCAAUAAGCGGAGGAAAAGAAACCAACAGGGAUUGCCCUAGUAACGGCGAAGUGAAGCGGCAACAGCUCCAAAUUUGAAAUCUGGCUUCGGCCCGAGUUUGUAAUUUGCAGAGGAUGUUUAUGGUGCGGUACUUUCCGAGUUCCCUGGAACGGGACGCCACAGAGGGUGAGAGCCCCGUCUGGAUGGAUACCAAACCUGUGUUAAACUCCUUCAACGAGUCGAGUAGUUUGGGAAUGCUGCUCUAAAUGGGAGGUAAAUCUCUUCUAAAGCUAAAUAUAGGCCAGAGACCGAUAGCGCACAAGUAGAGUGAUCGAAAGAUGAAAAGCACCUUGAAAAGGGGGUUAAACAGUACGUGAAAUUGUUGAAAGGGAAGCGUUUAUGACCAGACUUGUGUCGUGUGGCUCAUCCGAGGUUCUCCCCGGUGCACUCCACGCGGCUCAGGCCAACAUCGGUUUCUGUCGGGGGAUAAGAACAGUAGGAACGUAGCUCUCCCUCGGGAGAGUGUUAUAGCCUAUUGUACGAUACUCUGACGGGGACCGAGGACCGCGCUUCGGCUAGGAUGUUGGCGUAAUGGUCAUUAGCGACCCGUCUUGAAACACGGACCAAGGAGUCGUCCAUUAGAGCGAGCGUUUGGGUGUAAAACCCGCACGCGUAAUGAAAGUGAAAUUAGGUGAGAGCUUCGGCGCAUCAUCGACCGAUCCUGAAGUUUACGGAUGGAUUUGAGUAAGAGUUUUAACGGACGGACCCGAAAGACAAGUGAACUAUGCUUGAAUAGGGUGAAGCCAGAGGAAACUCUGGUGGAGGCUCGCAGCGGUUCUGACGUGCAAAUCGAUUCGUCAAAUUUGAGCAUGGGGGGCGAAAGACUAAUCGAACUGUCUAGUAGCUGGUUACUCGCCGAA
rnacentral:rRNA from 1 species